UGAGUAAGCUGAGUGAUCGCUGCCUCGAAAGAGGGAGAGGAAAGUCCGAGCUCCAUAGGGCAGGGUGCUGGGUAAUACCCAGUGGAGGUGACUCUAAGGAUAGUGCAACAGAGAUAUACCGCCUAUUUAAUAGGUAAGGGUGGAAAGGUGAGGUAAGAGCUCACCAGCAAUUAGGCGACUAAUUGGCUAUGUAAACCCCACUUGGAGCAAGACCGAAUAGAGGAGCAUUAUGUGUUUGCCCGACACGCUCCCGGGUAGUGUCGCUUGAGCCAUCUGGUAACAGCUGGCCUAGAUAGAUGAUCAUUCAAGACAGAACUCGGCUUAUAGGCUUACUCAAUUA
rnacentral:RNase_P_RNA from 2 species